rnacentral:lncRNA from 1 species
UUUAAUUUGUUUCAAGUGACAUAUAAGCAAUAAAUAUAGUUGCAUGCAAUAAAAAUGCCUUAAGUGAUUCUAAAAGUGGUGGCCAAAUGAUAUCAUAAUUAUACAAUUUACGGAACGCUUCGAAAGCCACUAGACAUGUACACUAUGUUUCUGAUGUAUCUACUUGAUACAAAUCAAAAAUACUAAAAAGGAACAAUUUACAGACACUGUGUCCUAUCAAUGUAUCUACUUGAUACAAACUAAAUUAUCCUUAAAAUACACAAUUUACAGACACUGUGUCCUAUCAAUGUAUCUACUUGAUACAAACUAAAUUAUCCUUAAAAUACACAAUUUACAGACACUGUGUCCUAUCAAUGUAUCUACUUGAUACAAACUAAAUUAUCCUUAAAAAGACACAAUUUACAGACACUGUGUCCUA